GCAAAUUUUCUACUUCUUUCCUCGUUCCUCCUUUCCGUUUGAAGGGUUCUGCUUAUGAUGGUCAUUAAAAUAAUAGCUACAAAUUAAAUAUCUUCUUUUACUUUUAAUCAUCAUCUUUUAAUUUUUUUAAGUCCAAAUAAAACGACUUAGAAACUUCUAAUUUAAGAAGCAGAAUUAUUCUUAUUAUUUUAUUGGCACAGUUGACCCGUCGACUUCUUGCACCUCUCUCUCUCUCUCUCUCUCUCUCUCGUAGGUAAAACUAUUUGAAAGUGCAAAAAUGUUGAAAAGUAAUAGCUUUCUAUAUUAUUCCUUGAAAAGUGAAAACAUUUGGCUUGUAUAAUAUUUUCUUUUGGACUUUUAAAAUUAAAUAUCUAUGCAAAAUCGCAAAAUGUAAUUAAUUCCCAAACCCUAACAAAUAAGGAUUCAGAACUCUGGGCUCGGAUCUGUUGAAUUUACUUACGGAGAAAGCCUGGAGGCCCAGUUAUUAUCUCAACGUUUACCGCUGCCAUAGGUCCCAAAAUCCAUUGGGUGGCGGCAGUGGUGGUUGUGUGUUUGGGAAUGAAUCAGAAAUUUGGGGGAGGGAGGAAGCCCACCGGCACUCCUUCACUGGCUUUGUCCUGCGUCGUCGUCGUCGUUUCGCUUCUCACCGGCGCCUCUGUCGUUCACAAUAUCUACAAGCCUGACCUUAGAUUGCCACCUGUAGAGGAUAUUGAAAAGGCCAAGCUGAAACAACCUGAGAGAGAAUGAAGAUUUGUUCGUAACCUCUUCCAUCUUUGCUAAAUUUUGAUACCGCUUUAAUUUAGGUUUUGUAUUUUGGCUAAUGUGACUUGCAAGUAAUUAUGUCUGUAUUGGAUAUCUGAUGCUUAGGAUGUUGGACAAGUGCAUUUUUUAGAUUAAAUUUCCUAUGGAA